GCCGGGCUUUCGUCCUGUAGCAGAAGGUGCCCUGCGCCAUCGCUGGGUGACUGUCCUCACCACCUGAGGUCAGUGCCCUGCCACCACCACCCCUCUCGCGGAUCACUCUCAGCUUUGGCUUCUCUUACCCAGCCGUGGCUUCCGAGGUCUGCAUGCCAGUGGGCUCAUCCUCAGAGAGUGGAAUGGCGGCAGGGAGCAUCACUUUUGUCCCCGUACCCCUGCAUCAGGCUCAUGUGAGAACCGAGGCCAGGCUGUCCAAGGCUGUCUCUUCAUACUUCAACAGUCCUGAGUCCCAUGACCUCCCAGCAGCCCGACUCUGGCCUUGGUUACACUCACAGGUAGAGUCCUGCCUCCUCUCCCUCGCAUCCCCACCCCCUUCCCCAAAGGACUGUGUCUCUGAAGUCCUGGGCAGCUUUGCCUCCUGACCUAACUGCUGGAGACACUGGUGUUCCUAGGGAGGAGUUACUCUGCAUCUAACAGCACAGAAGCUCCUGGGGCAGGCGGUGGGGGAGGAACUGAGAAGAUGAAAAUGUCAGCUAGAGCCCUGGAGAAGAGGAGUUGACUUUUAGUCUCCACGUCUAAUUGGGAAUGAGUCGGGUUUUUAUACAUACACACGCACAUGCAUAUGACACGCACACAAAACCCUUGGGAUUGCAGCAGUGUUCGGACACGUCUUCCAAACCUAAUUCCACCUCCUGGCCUCCCUGGUUCUGUCCCCAGCAUCCCAUCCUCCUGAUCCCAGACACUUGGGUCUGGUCCUUCACAGUUGCUCGAGCCAGUGCUGGGUACGUGCCCUCUUACCCUGGGAAGCACCCUCUCCUCCUCUUAGGUCCAGUGCUCCAGCUUGUGUUCCAAGUGCUCGGCUUGUCUGAGAGGUUCCUGCCCACAAGGCCUGGAGGUGCUCUCAGUGUAGCUCCCAUGGUGUGGCUCACGUGGGGCCAGACGCAGCUGAGCUGAGCUGUGGAGCUCCAAAAACGGGGGGUUCCGGAAAGGAGGGUUUUUCAGGGCUUCCUGUGAACCAGGUAGGGGGAAUCUAGACUUCCUGGUGAACUUAGAUCUGUAGCUCUGGCCAAGGGGCUGGGAGGACAGAAGUGAGAAGGAUUCAUGGGAGUGAUGGGUGGUCGUUGGGUUGCUGGUUGGAGGGAGGUGGGGAGCCUGAGAAAGGCCAGAAUGUGGAUGGGCUGGUGUGACAUGGAGUCUGAAAUGGUCAGAGUGAUCCAGCUUGGGGUCUCCAGUGAUUAGGAGAGUUGUCCCUUUGAAUAUGGUGUGGCUGUGAAGGAAGAAGCAGGAGGCCUGUUCACAUAGAAGAGCAAAGGUGGACACCGAAGUCCUGACCGUUGGCUGGGAUGGAAGAAUUCAUGUGUGAGAGACUCUUUCAUUGGUUCAUGCCCUGUGUGCCCCUGGGAGGGUGGGCCUGAGGAAGGUUAAAGACCCCAGACUGAUACCAUCUGGAAAGCGGGGGGCCUGGGAGUUAGCAAGAAGGUUCCUGGCCAGUUCCUGGCCACUGUGAACUCCGGCUCAGGAAGAGAGGCGCAGUGUGCAGGAACCUUAAGGACUGGGCUCAGACUGCUGUCAUGUAUGUGUGCCUUCUCUUGGUAGCCAGAGUCCGCUCUAGAUUCCCUGGUUAAAUAAAAGUGAAAGUGAAAUAGAAGGGAGAGUUCAGUGCUUUCGCAGAAGGAUUUCACUGUAUAUCCUGCCCUUCCCAGAACCAGCUCUGGCAGUGGAGAGAACUUUACCUCCCUUUGUGACUAGGUAAGUCCCUGGUCCUCUUUGGGCCUCAGUUUCCAUGCCUGUAAUGAAGGGGUUAGAUUGGACUAGUAACCAGUAUAAUGUUGAUGGUAAUAAGAGCUAGGGUGGGGAUCCCCUGGCUUUGUUUUUAGGGGCUGGAAGAGCUCUAGCCUAUGCCCGAUGCCAGUCCUCCAGGAGUUGUCACAGGUGGACAGGACAGAGUAAAUAGCAGUGCCUGACAGCCCACUGAAAAACUAGAGGUAGGGAGGGGCUGUGGAGUCCACAGGAAGAAGGCCACAUGUAUGCCUGGGAUCUAAGCAAGCCACUCAGAAGACGUGGGAGAAGCAGUUUUUCACCAUCUCCUCCCCCGCCUCCCCCAGAGAGGAGGAAGUUGUCACAGAUAUAUAGAUCCAGGCGUGCCAGCUCCUGACACACGCAUCACGACCAUGAGACAGAACUGGAUUCCAGACCCCAGCCCUCUUUGGGCCCUGCUCCUCUGUGCCCACAUCGUCUCCCACCUGGCCAGAGCCACAUCUGUGCCUCAGGCCACUACAGCUGCCACUGCCUCAGCUGGGAUCGCAAAGGACACCUGCCCCUCCCGGCCCCCAGCGCUCCCGACAGCUAAGCAGUGCCCAGCAUUGGAGGUGACCUGGCCGGAAGUGGAAGUCUCACUGAAUGGAACGCUGACCUUGUCCUGUACUGCCUGCAGCCGCUUCCCCCACUUCAGCAUCCUUUACUGGCUGGGCAACAGCUCCUUCAUCGAGCACCUCCCGGGCCGGCUGCGGGAGGGCAGCACCAGGCGGGAGCACAGGGGCACGAGGACCCAGCUGUGGAGGGCCUUGGUGCUGGAGGAGCUGAGCCCCGCCCUGCGAGACACCAACUUCUCCUGUGUUUUCUCGGAUCCUGGGCAGACUGCCCAGCGUCACCUCGUCCUGGCCCAGCUCUGGAACGUGGCCUGUCUGAGGAGGGAGUGUGGGAAGAGGAGAGAGAAUGCCACUCAGAAGCUACAGACAAAACCAGAUUCAGGGGACACAGGCCCUCAGAAGAGAAGAGGCCGGCCCAUAAUGCUCCUCAGGAGCAGAGGCCAGAAAUGGAGUGUGGGAAGAUCCUGUGGCCUGAGAAAGGCCAGGAGAAGGGAUCUGAGAGAAGGGAACGGCCUGCUGCCCAGGCUGGUCAGCAGGACAUUGAGUGAUGUGACCCAACUCAAGUGCUGCCAGAGCCACCUGCCUGUGCUCGCCUCCAACCCCCACCUGCAGAGACAGAGACAGCACAGCUGACUCAGGAGCCGACACCCCACCACGUCCUACUGCCGCUGCUGCCGCUCCAGCCCCAACCUUCCCGGGCCAGACAGGACCAGGGGACCCAGUCUACCACUCCAGCAGACGUACUCAGUUGCAAAGAGGGCUUGUGAGAUAAGGAUGAGUCACGAAAAGAGGGCUGUAGAAGACUCCCAUUGAGACAGAGGACGGAGCCCCGGAGCAGGUUCCCGGAACAUUGUGAGAACACGGAGACUUGGAGGCUCUUCUGCGAAAGAGUGAAACCUCUCUCAUAAAGACACACAAUGACUGGAGAACGAGGUCAUCUGUUUUGCCUCUGGGGCCCACACUGGCCUAGACAUCCCAGUCCUGCGGUGCUUUCUGGUCACAGCUGUCAACAAGGAAACAAAUGCAGUCCCCACCCCAGCAUGCAGCUUCACUUGAGAGGCUGGAGAGGGAUGUGGCACAAACUCACAUGCUGUCAAUGAUCCUGAGGAAGACGCUGCAGUCCUGGAGUUGCAGCACGGCCUCCACGGGGUCAGCCACGUGCAGACUGUUCACCUGCGAGGCAAAGGGAAGAGCCUGGUGAAACCGUCAUAAGUGCCAGAAGCCCCGGGAGGGAGGGGGGCGGAGUUCCACUCCCUUCCCCAGGUGUUGACAAUUCUGUUUGUUCCAACUGCCUAUAGUUGUAACUAAAGGAAUGAGAGAACAGGUGAUUCUAGGACUUUUAACUUCCAGCUCAUCCACUAACAGCCACCUGAAUGCCGCCAUCACAGUCCUUCCUUUGGCUUCAACUAAAUAAGAGCUUAAAUUCUCCCAGAAUGUUCCAGCACUUGGGGUGUGCUUUAAAUAUAAUUAGGCAUAAAAUGGUUCUACAAGAAUACUGAUAGUUUCUAGAAGAAAAUCGAACCACCACUGCCUCGAAAGAGAGGAACUUGAUGGUUGGGAGCUGAGGUAGGAAAAAGGCUUUUUAUACUCUAGCGCUUUGUAUCUCUUGAAUGGUUACAUUAUAAACCUUCGUAGCUCAAAUUUUUACAGCUAAAAUUUACAGAAUGUUAUAGCUCUUCAAAUUUGAAUUUUGCGUCUACUCAAAAUUUACAUUAUAUACUACAUAUAUUUUAUAUACUCCCACACAGAUAUAAAAUCUUGUGAUUGAUGCAUUUUAAAAUUCUUUCCAGACAUGAAACUUCAGCUGAGGCAGGGAGAAAUGAUGAGCCAACAAGAUAAGAAGAAGAAGGGAGGAAGGGAAAGAAAAGCUAGGAACCCCAAAGAAAAACUUGUCAAUAUCCAAUGGCCUCUCCCUUUCCUUGCCUUCAGGCAGACAUUCAUCUAAAUCAGUCUUUCCCACUAGAAAGUUCACCAGCAGUCACAUGCAAAUGAAGCAGGUACACAGGUUAUUCAACAAGCAUAUAUGGCGGACUUCUACAGGAAAACCUCAUAAAUUCCACAGGUACCAAGUUCAGAAGCCCGAGCUGAAGUUCACCUUUGUAGUACCUUAUUAAGAAGGAAGGGUCUGCUAAGUCAAUCAAUCACAUAUGCAAGACUGAGGGAGAAGGGAGACUUAUCCUGCUUUACAAGUUAUUUUUUAAAACUUCAGCAUAGUGGUUAUGCACAAACGAGUAGAUUCUAUUUAUAAAUGUGCUCUUUAUUUUUUUAAUUGAAGUAUAGCUGAUUUACAAUAACCUCUUAGUUUCAUAGUGAUUCAGUAUUUUUGCAGAUUAUCCUCCAUUAUAGGUUAUUACAAGAUAAUGGGUAUAAUUCCCUGUGCUAUACCGUAUACCCUUGUUGCUUAUCUAUUUAUGUGUAGUAGUUCUGUAUCUGUUAAUCCCUUACCCCUAAUGUGUCCCUCCCACUUAAAUGUGCUCUUCAACAGGCACUGGGCUGGGGGCUCCCAGACAAGGAUUUUUGAGUCCAGCUCCUCCACUAACUUGCCAGGAACCUUUGUUUAUCAACUUUGUUUCUUUCUGUGACUGUUUUCUCACUUGUCAAACUUAUCUACCUUAAAAGACCAGUGUGUGUUCAAAUGGGAUUGUGAAUGCAAGAACACAUUACGAAAUAAAAGUACUAAAUGCAAAGCACUAUUACGGUUAUGAAGUAGAUCCAGCAACACUUCUACUUCUUAACAGUUAAAUUAGCUGACUGCACUGGAGGAUCAAGAGGAUUAAAAAAAAAAAUCAGUGAUUCAGCUACAGAAAUGAUAGUACUUAUUUCCAUUAAAUAAUUUUAUAUUAGAAAAACUUCUAGAUAAAUCUAAAUUAAAAUAGGUUGAGGGACUUGCCUGGUGGCGCAGUGGUUAAGACUCUGCCUGCCAAAGCAGGGGACAUGGGUUCGAGCCCUGGUCCAGGAAGAUCCCACAUGCCGCGGAGCAACUAAGCCUGGGAGCCAGAACUACUGAGCCUGCACUCUAGACCUCGCAAGCCACAACUACUAAGCCCACGUGCCACAACUACUGAAGCCCGUGCACCACAACAAGAGAAGCCACCGCAAUGAGGAGCCCGUGCACCGCAAAGAAGAGUAGCCCCUGCUCGCUGCAACUAGAGAAAGCCUGCACGCAGCAACGAAGACCCAACGCAGCCAAAAAUAAAUAAAUUUACUAAAAAUUUUUUUUAAAAAAUAGGUUGAAAGUAAAAAAAAAAAUUUAAGUGCAGAAUAUAAAAUACGACCUUCUCACUGGACUCUUAAAGAUAAUAAUUUAUACCACCUUUGGGGGGGGUGCUUAAUCUAAUUAGAAAAGGCCAGUGUAAAUUUUCUAGGAAGACUGAAUAUUCCAGGCCAAGGUCCCUUUCCACCUGCUGAAAAUGAAGAGACUGCAUGACUUAAGCAUACAAAAACCAUCUUCUUUUAAUAUCUGCAAUCUAGGUAAAACAUUCAAGGGCUGUGAAUGCUCGUUCGCUAACAAGAUUGAAAAAAAUCGUACCAGUUAGCUGAUUUAAAGUCACUUAAGGAAUCUGGAUUCAUCUCAUACCAAUUAAGUAAUAAUCCAGCAAUAGUUUCUUUCAUGGAUAUAAAAAUGUAUUUUCUUCCUGUGCAUUAUUUUGCUCUCAAAUGAUAAAUCAUUUAAAAGCUGAAGAAGUGAAGAAGCUCCUUUAUCUCUAGUCAGGGUAUAAAACGUGAGAGAGGACCAAGCUCACUGAAUAAGUGCCUGUAAGGCUUUCCGGGUCAUUUAAGGUGCCUGAAUCUUUUUUUUUU